UACGAAGGGGGCUAGCGUUGUUCGGAAUUACUGGGCGUAAAGCGUGCGCAGGCGGCUGCUCAAGUCAGGGGUGAAAGCCCAGAGCUCAACUCUGGAAUUGCCUUUGAGACUGAGUGGCUUGAGUACGGGAGAGGUGAGUGGAAUUCCCAGUGUAGAGGUGAAAUUCGUAGAUAUCGGAAGGAACACCUGUGGCGAAAGCGGCUCACUGGACCAUAACUGACGCUGAGGCACGAAAGCGUGGGGAGCAAACAGG
rnacentral:rRNA from 1 species